AACGGGUGAGUAACACGUGAGAAACCUGCCCCAGACUCUGGGAUAACACAAAGAAAUUUGUGCUAAUACCGGAUAUCUCUUUCCUCGCAUGGGGGGUUGAGGAAAGUUUUUCGGUUUGGGAGGGUCUNNCGGCCUAUCAGCUAGUUCCUGGGGUAAUGGCCUACCAAGGCAACGACGGUAGCUGGUUUGAGAGAACGAUCAGCCACACUGGAA
rnacentral:rRNA from 1 species